UGCAAGUCGAGCGAACUGAUUAGAAGCUUGCUUCUAUGACGUUAGCGGCGGACGGGUGAGUAACACGUGGGCAACCUGCCUGUAAGACUGGGAUAACUUCGGGAAACCGAAGCUAAUACCGGAUAGGAUCUUCUCCUUCAUGGGAGAUGAUUGAAAGAUGGUUUCGGCUAUCACUUACAGAUGGGCCCGCGGUGCAUUAGCUAGUUGGUGAGGUAACGGCUCACCAAGGCAACGAUGCAUAGCCGACCUGAGAGGGUGAUCGGCCACACUGGGACUGAGACACGGCCCAGACUCCUACGGGAGGCAGCAGUAGGGAAUCUUCCGCAAUGGACGAAAGUCUGACGGAGCAACGCCGCGUGAGUGAUGAAGGCUUUCGGGUCGUAAAACUCUGUUGUUAGGGAAGAACAAGUACAAGAGUAACUGCUUGUACCUUGACGGUACCUAACCAGAAAGCCACGGCUAACUACGUGCCAGC
rnacentral:rRNA from 2 species